UACGGAGGGGGCCAGCGUUGUUCGGAAUCAUUGGGCGUAAAGGGCGCGUAGGCGGCCUGGUAAGUCGGGCGUGAAAUCCCGCGGCUCAACCGCGGAAUUGCGCUCGAAACUGCUUGGCUCGAGUCCCGGAGAGGGUAGCGGAAUUCCCAGUGUAGCGGUGAAAUGCGUAGAUAUUGGGAGGAACACCAGUGGCGAAGGCGGCUACCUGGACGGGAACUGACGUUGAGGCGCGAAAGCGUGGGUAGCAAACAGG
rnacentral:rRNA from 1 species